rnacentral:rRNA from 1 species
AGUUUGAUCCUGGCUCAGAACGUACGCUGGCGGCACGCUUAACACAUGCAAGUCGAACGAAGUAGCAAUACUUAGUGGCAGACGGGUGAGUAACAUGUGGGUAUCUGCCCUUUGGCCUGGAAUAACACGAGGAAACUUGUGCUAAUACCGGAUAAGUCUUUACGGAGAAAGCUUUAUGCACCAUUGGAUGAGCCCGCACUUGAUUAGUUUGUUGGUGGGGUAAUGGCCUACCAAGACUGUGAUCAAUAGCUGAUUUGAGAGGAUGAUCAGCCACAUUGGGACUGAGACACGGCCCAAACUCCUACGGGAGGCAGCAGUGGGGAAUCUUGCACAAUGGAGGAAACUCUGAUGCAGCGAUGCCGCGUGAGUGAAGAAGGCCCUUGGGUUGUAAAGCUCUUUCGUCGGGGAAGAAAAUGACUGUACCCGAAUAAGAAGGUCCGGCUAACUUCGUGCCAGCAGCCGCGGUAAUACGAAGGGACCUAGCGUAGUUCGGAAUUACUGGGCUUAAAGAGUUCAUAGGUGGUUGAAAAAGUUAGUGGUGAAAUCCCAGAGCUUAACUCUGGAACUGCCAUUAAAACUUUUCAGCUAGAGUAUGAUAGAGGAAAGCAGAAUUUCUAGUGUAGAGGUGAAAUUCGUANAUAUUANAAAGAAUACCAAUUGCGAAGGCAGCUUUCUGGAUCAUUUACUGAC